rnacentral:rRNA from 1 species
AAAUCUCAACUUUAUUAGAAGAGACGCAUUUAUUAGAUAAAAAGCCAGUUCAUGCUUUUACAGUAUGAAAAUUGGUGAUUUAUAAUAACUUAGCAAAUCGCAAAGUGAAAACAGGCGAUAAAUCAUUCAAGUUUCUGACCUAUCAGCUUUCGACGGUAUGGUAUUGGCUUACCGUGGCAGUGACGGUUAACGGGGGAUUAGGGUUCGAUUCCGGAGAGGGAGCCUGAGAAACGGCUACCACAUCUAAGGAAGGCAGCAGGCGCGCAAAUUACCCAAUUCUAACAGUUUGAGAGAGGUAGUAACAAGAAAUAACAAUACAAGGCAGUUAAAAUGCUUUGUAAUUGGAAUGAUAGAAAUUUAAACCCUUUUUAAAGUAUCAAUUGGAGGGCAAGUCUGGUGCCAGCAGCCGCGGUAAUUCCAGCUCCAAUAGCGUAUAUUAAAAUUGUUGCAGUUAAAAAGCUCGUAGUUGAAGUUCUGCUGAAAGUAACCGGUCUGCUUUUAAUAAAAGUGGUAUCUUGGUAUGUAUUUAGCAAUGAUGUCCUUUGAAGUGUUUUUUACUUUAUUGUAAUAAAGCAUAUUCAGGACUUUUACUUUGAGAAAAUUAGA